GUCAUGAAUUGGCCUAAUUUCAAUAUUACUGUCUCAGGGAAUAGGAGGCCUGAGGAGAGGGAGAGAGACAGAGGAAUGACUGGUCAGUGGAGUAAUCAGAACACAAAUAACAUUUAUCAACUAAAUUUUCUGUCUUCUAGUAGUAGCUUCCUGGACUCCAAAACAGUUAUAAGAGUAGCAGAAAAGGUCCCUCAUCACAAUCACCAUAAUACAUAUAACAGUAAUGAAAGAGCAUGAAAUAUUGUGAGGGUUACCAAAAUGUGAUCCAGAGGCACAAAGUGAGAAAAAGGGCUGUUAAAAGGGUGCCAAUAGGAGUUCCCAUCAUGGCUCAGUGGAAACAAAUCUGACUAGUAUCUAUAAGGAUGCAGGUUCAAUCCCUUGCCUCACUCAGUGGGUUAAGGAUCUGUUGCCAUGAGCUGUGGUGUAGGGACUGAACCCGAAACCUCUUGGUUCUCAGUCGGAUUCGUUAACCACUGCGCCACGACGGAACUCCUGUAGUUGUUUUUAUUCAGGAAACAAGUAAGUCGUCUGUGGUUAUGUCUGUAUGAUCUAUUUUUUUCCCCACUCUAUAACUUGCCUUUGAAUUCUCUCAUUAAUAUCUUUUGACAAAAAGAAUGUUAACUUUUAACAUAGUCAAUUUUAUCAGUCCAUUUUUAUGGUCAGCACUUUCUCUGUCUUGUGAAAGAAUUUUUCCACCACUUUGAGGUCAUGAAGAUGUUCUCUUUCUAGACAUUCUUUCUAGAAGUUCUACUCUUUUGCCUUGAACAUUUAGAUUUACAGGGUCCCUGAAACUGCUGUUAUGAGUGGUGUAGGGUAGGGAUCAAAUUUCCUCUUCUUCCUGUGUAGCCAUCCAGUCGCCCCACUCUCGUCAUCGAAAAGAUUGUCCUUCCCCUUACUGCCUGGUAGUGUCACGUCUGGGAUAAAACACGAGUCCAUUUAUGUUUGGCAUCUGUCUCUAUCCCAUUGGUCUAUUUGCCCAUUCUUGAACCAAUAACCAUCCUAUCUUACUUACUUAACUUUAUAAUAGGUAUUGCUAUCCAGUAGGGCAAAUCCUUCUACUUUGUUCUUUAUCAAAAAAAAAAAAAAAGUGAAAAAAAAAAGGUUAUCUUUCAUCCUUUGUGUUUCCACAUAGGUUUUACAAUCUGUUUUCCAAGUUACACACACACCCACACACACACACACACACACACCCUUAUUAAGAUUUUGAUUAGCACGGUAUGCAUUGAAUCUAUGAAUCAGUUUGCAGAGAACUGACUCCUUUAAAAUAUUGGAGUUCCCAUUGUGGCUCAGCGGGUUAAGAACCCGACUAGUAUCCCUGAGGAGGUGGGUUCAAUGCCUGGCCUUGCUCAGAGGGUUAAGGAUCUGGCUUUGCCACAAGCUGCAGCUCGAUCUGGCCUUGCUGUGGCUGUGGCGUAGGCCGGCAGCUGCAGCUCCAAUUCGACCCCUAACCUGGAAACUUCCAUAUGAUACAGGUGGGGCCCUAAAAAGAAUGAAUAAAUAAAUAAAAUAUCAAAUAUUCCAAUUCAUGAAUAUGAUAUAUCCUUCCAUUUAGUUUUUGGAGUUCUCUCAAUCAUCUUUUACAGUUGCUGAGAAUUUUCUUAGAGGAACCCAUUUUUAAAAAAACCUCUGAAGUGAGUGCUAUGCAACCCUUGGAUGUGGCAAAAUCAUGAAGACAGCCAAGUUCACAGAACAUUUUUGUUGUGCCCCCUGCCAGCUCGAUAUCAAGGGACUUCAAGGUGUGCCUGGGUCCCCUCCCCAGACCCUCUUCCCCUGCACACAAGGAGGCUGACCCAGAGCUGGGAUCCAGUAGAUAUGCACAAAGCAAACACUACCUGUCACACUCCCAUCCCAGAGCGUUCACCCCAUCACUGGAAAACCAACAACCCCACCCACGUCCAUGUCCUAAGGCCAGGCCAGGCCAUGGUUCAGCUCCCACCUAAAACUCUACUUUUGAAAAGCGGUUUACUCAUUCUUUCCCAUUAGAAUAGUUUGACACAUGCUCAUUGCAGAACAUUAAAAACUGCCCACAUGGGAAGUCCCCUGGUUGCAGCUCAGGCUGCAGCUGUGGCGCAGGUUUGAUUCCUGACCAGGAACUUCUGCAUGCUGCAGGCACGGCCAAAAAUAAAAAGAUUACUGGUUUUGUUGCAUUGAGAUCAGAGAGCGUUAUUUAUAAUAUUUCUACUAUAUAAAACUUGCAGAUGUUUUCUUUGUGACAGUAGGUAAUCACAUGCUUGUGAAGGUUCCAUUUGCACUUGAGAAGAGGUGUAUUCCAAUGAUUAAGCUACAAAAGUUUUAUAUAGAUGUGUAUUCCACAGUUAUUGAUUGAUGUUCUUUGCAUCUGGUAUAUCUCUACUUAUGCUUGUCCACUGAGAGUAGCAUAUAUUAUCAUUAUGAAUUGCAGCUUUUAGCAUUAAAAAUUAUCCUUGAUCAGGAAAAAUAAAAAAAAAAUUGCCAACAUGUACAGCAGAAAUUAUCACAACCUUGUAAAUCACCUAAAACAAAAAAUAAAACAAAAAAUAAAAAUUGUGGAAUUGGCAUCGUGGCCAGUGGGUGAAAGAUCUGGCAUUGCUGUGAGCUGUGGUGAAGGUUGCAGAUAUGGCUCGGAUUCCCGUGUUGCUGUGGCUGUGGUGUAGACCGGCAGCUGUAGCUCUGAUUCGACCCCUAGCCUUGGAAGUUCCAUAUGCCACAGGUGCGGCCCUAAGACAAAAGUUAAAAAAAAAUUUGCCAACCCACAGAUAGCAGAGGGCGGGAAGUGUGCACAUUCCUCAUUACUCAGAUAAUCACUUUUCAUAUUUUGCUGCCCUUCCUGCCAUCUUAUUUCCCUAU
rnacentral:lncRNA from 9 species